UUGAGUGACGACGACAGAAGCUUCAACUUCGACAAAGAGACAACUCUUGCGCUUUCAAAAACAUUUGGCUACAAACCAAUAAUUUGUAAGAGCACUUUUUAGUUCUUUUCAUAAACUAUCAUCCCGUGAUUUUUGAAGGCGACUCUCUUGACAUAUCUCCUUUAUAUCGACGUUACCAGAACAAAGGUUUCAAGUUGCGGUCGAACUGCCCUUGGAACAAAAUAAAAUAAUGACCAAGGGAGAAGACUCAAACUCUGAAAUGGCCCAUGCUCGUCAGAGUGAUGGCAUCAAUGUAAUCUUUGACCAAAACAGCCCUGCUUCAUCUCGCUCCCAGUCCCAAAGCAGCAGUGGCAGCAGACAAUCCUCUGGCUCUGCCUGCUACAGGGGGCGAGGUAGCCACAGGGGGCGUUCUUCAUCUUCUUCGUCAUCUACAUCCAGAAGUAGGUCCUCCUCUCGCCCCAGGUCUCGCUCUCACCCUCGGUGCCACAGACGUUCCUCCCGCUGUGGCUGUGACAACCAUCGCAGAUAUGGCCAUGGGCGCCACCGCCGCUCCCCACCACGCCAUUUAAGAGCCCACUCUCGCUCCUACAGCCGCUCGCCCUUGCCAGACAGAUCCACAGGUCGCACACGCUAUAGGUCCCGCUCCAGGUCUCCCAGCCGUUGGAGCAGGCACAGGAGGACCGUGAGCCAAUUUAGAAGCAGGUUUUCCAAAUCCCCAGCCAGAGGAUACAGGAGCCGCUCGAGGUCCACAUCUUCAGGACAUUUGAGUUUGGAUGAUAAAAGAGAACCCCUUGAAGCUGCAAAGGCCAAUGCUUUGAAUAUCCUAGGUGUGGAGAAGCUGGAACUUCCUGAGAGUGUGAAACCAAUCCCGUCAGAGAAGUCAACGGAAUCCAGAUGGGUGUCACCAGAACCGGAGACAAGGAUUCCAAUUGAAGGCCUAGAAGUAUUUUUCCCAUCUUGGACUAGAUGUAAAUACAAGGUAAGGGGUGUUGAGAACUUUAGGGACAGCUAAUAGUUUUUCACACCACUUGUGCAUAACUGCACUAACCAUCAAUUAACUUUUGACCUAGUGGUCAAUGGACUCCUAGGUCUUUGGCUGUGCAUGAAGAUUUUUUUCUUUCUCCUAGCUGUCAAACCUUUGUAUAUCAAAGCGGCAACAAAAACAGAUUAUAUCAAGCAGAGUUUAAUGUCUACAGAUGUCUGUUGAUAAGCUUGAGGUCUAUGUUGUGUUGAAUUUCCUGUCUUGUGUUAACCUUUGGACCCCUGAGGGAACACACAUACUCUCUGUAUUUAUUCCUGUCUUCAUAGAUAACAUGACAGUGGUCUCCUUCACUCAUCGGCACCUGGGAUUAAAAGGCUGUCAUGUGACUUGGGUGACGACAAUAUGUGUUUGCGUGAAAGGUUAAUUAAUAAGUCUUGUAAUGUUUGCAAUUAAACCAACACAUAUGUAGAUUUAGCAUUUAGACAUAAUGCACACAGUCCAUUCAAAUGCUAAUCACACACAUAGAUAACUGGAUCAUUGACAACCAAUUCAGAUAUUGUAUUACACUGACUACACUUCAUAUAACAAGGCAAUAGAAUUUUGACAUUACAAAUGUAUUCAUGCUUGCAGUUGAAAUGGGUCAUUGUUAUUUAGCAGAAUCCUCCACUCGCUGAUGGAGCGCAGGCGUGUGGACUGCGUUAUAGUGACUAUUCCUGUCAAGAGAACUAAAAACAGACGAAGAACUCCUCUCCGUAUGCCAAAGAUAAGUUGGUACACGAGGCGUGUGCUGAGGGUCUGGGAAACCUGCAUCUCCAUCAUUCUGCCACUCUAGACAGAGAAGACAUCCUUUUUACUAUUUUGUUUGCAUUUUUUUGUUUUUACUGUUUCAAGGUCUGUACUUGAAGCACUCAUUUAAUGGUUGAGCCUAGUCUUUGUGUGGGGGGUGGGAAGUGUGCAUGAGAGCUACAGUUUGUUGAAGCUAAUUCUGAAAUGUAUCUAUGCAAUAGAAGUGCUUUACAAUAUUAGUAAUAAAUCCUAUAAUCCAUCUAUCUGAACUUCACAAACUGUAAAAGCUCACUCUACUAUUAGUUCUACACUCAAUUCUAACUAGGUCUGUCUUUCUUGUCUUUUUUGAAACAGAGCAACGAGACAGAGCCUGAUGACGUGUCCAACCUAAAGAUGUCCCCGAAAAGGAAAAUAAUCUCUUUCAGCAUUAAUAAUUCUGUGGCCAAACCGACAA